GAUGAACGCUGGCGGCGUGCCUAAUACAUGCAAGUCGAGCGAACAGACGAGGAGCUUGCUCCUCUGACGCUAGCGGCGGACGGGUGAGUAACACGUGGAUAACCUACCUAUAAGACUGGGAUAACUUCGGGAAACCGGAGCUAAUACCGGAUAACAUGUUGAACCGCAUGGUUCAACAGUGAAAGACGGUCUUGCUGUCACUUAUAGAUGGAUCCGCGCCGCAUUAGCUAGUUGGUAAGGUAACGGCUUACCAAGGCAACGAUGCGUAGCCGACCUGAGAGGGUGAUCGGCCACACUGGAACUGAGACACGGUCCAGACUCCUACGGGAGGCAGCAGUAGGGAAUCUUCCGCAAUGGGCGAAAGCCUGACGGAGCAACGCCGCGUGAGUGAAGAAGGUCUUCGGAUCGUAAAACUCUGUUAUUAGGGAAGAACAAAUGUGUAAGUAACUAUGCACGUCUUGACGGUACCUAAUCAGAAAGCCACGGCUAACUACGUGCCAGCAGCCGCGGUAAUACGUAGGUGGCAAGCGUUAUCCGGAAUUAUUGGGCGUAAAGCGCGCGUAGGCGGUUUUUUAAGUCUGAUGUGAAAGCCCACGGCUCAACCGUGGAGGGUCAUUGGAAACUGGAAAACUUGAGUGCAGAAGAGGAAAGUGGAAUUCCAUGUGUAGCGGUGAAAUGCGCAGAGAUAUGGAGGAACACCAGUGGCGAAGGCGACUUUCUGGUCUGUAACUGACGCUGAUGUGCGAAAGCGUGGAGAUCAAACAGGAUUAGAUACCCUGGUAGUCCACGCCGUAAACGAUGAGUGCUAAGUGUUAGGGGGUUUCCGCCCCUUAGUGCUGCAGCUAACGCAUUAAGCACUCCGCCUGGGGAGUACGACCGCAAGGUUGAAACUCAAAGGAAUUGACGGGGACCCGCACAAGCGGUGGAGCAUGUGGUUUAAUUCGAAGCAACGCGAAGAACCUUACCAAAUCGUGACAUCCUCUGACCCCUCUAGAGAUAGAGUUUCCCCCUUCGGGGGACAGAGUGACAGGUGGUGCAUGGUUGUCGUCAGCUCGUGUCGUGAGAUGUUGGGUUAAGUCCCGCAACGAGCGCAACCCUUAAGCUUAGUUGCCAUCAUUAAGUUGGGCACUCUAAGUUGACUGCCGGUGACAAACCGGAGGAAGGUGGGGAUGACGUCAAAUCAUCAUGCCCCUUAUGAUUUGGGCUACACACGUGCUACAAUGGACAAUACAAAGGGUAGCGAAACCGCGAGGUCAAGCAAAUCCCAUAAAGUUGUUCUCAGUUCGGAUUGUAGUCUGCAACUCGACUACAUGAAGCUGGAAUCGCUAGUAAUCGUAGAUCAGCAUGCUACGGUGAAUACGUUCCCGGGUCU
rnacentral:rRNA from 1 species